GACGAACGCUGGCGGCGUGCCUAAUACAUGCAAGUCGAACGCAGUGGGGACGGGUGAGUAACACGUGGGUAACCUCCCAUCAGAGGGGAUAACACUUGGAAACCGGUGCUAAACCGAUACUGAUGGAUGGCCCCGUGGUGCAUUGGCUAGUUGGUGAGGUAACGGCUCACCACGGCCACGAUGCAUAUCCUACCUGAGAGGGUGAUAGGCCACACUGGUAUUGCGACACGGCCCAGACUCCUACGGGAGGCAGCAGUAGGGAAGCUGCGGCAAUGGACGAAAGUCUGAACGAGCAACGCCGCGUGAGUGAAGAAGGUUUUCGGAGCGUAAACCUCUGUUGUUAGAGAAGCGGUAUCUAACCAGAAAGCCACGGCUAACUACGUGCCAGCAGCCGCGGUAAUAC
rnacentral:rRNA from 1 species